GACGAACGCUGGCGGCGUGCUUAACACAUGCAAGUCGAACGGAAAGGCCCCUUUGGGGGUACUCGAGUGGCGAACGGGUGAGUAACACGUGAGUAACCUGCCCUUGACUUCGGGAUAACUUCAGGAAACUGGGGCUAAUACCGGAUAGGAAUCCUUGCUGCAUGGUGGGGGUUGGAAAGCUUCGGCGGUUUUGGAUGGACUCGCGGCUUAUCAGCUUGUUGGUGGGGUAGUGGCUUACCAAGGCUUUGACGGGUAGCCGGCCUGAGAGGGCGACCGGCCACAGUGGGACUGAGAUACGGCCCAGACUCCUACGGGAGGCAGCAGUGGGGAAUAUUGCACAAGGGGCGGAAGCCUGAUGCAGCAACGCCGCGUGCGGGAGGACGGCCUUCGGGUUGUAAACCGCUUUCAGCAGGGGCGAAGCUUGUGGUGACGGUACCUGCAGAAGAAGCACCGGCUAACUACGUG
rnacentral:rRNA from 1 species